CACCAAAGUAUGAAGAUUAGAUCUUCUCUAUUUAUUUUUCUCUAUUUAAUUUUUAUAUCUGAAUCCAAUCUCACACAUGUAGAUCUUAUUUUAUAGUUUUAAGAUUUGAUCUUAUGCAUGCUUAGAUUAAAUUAGAUUUAAUCUGAAUUUUUAAUUUUCACUGCAUACUUGUUUUAAAAUUUUUGCAUGCAUAAAAUCAUGAAAUCUCAACAGUGGUAUCAGAGCUACAUCAU
rnacentral:lncRNA from 1 species